CUUGAGGUUGAGAAGGACAAGUGACCGCUUCAAUUUCUAUCUAAUUGUUUACUCUGCUUUUCUCUUCACCUGUACUCUAUUUUUUUCGUUGGUAGUAAACAUCAUCGAAUACCUUUGUUUCUUUGUUCGAUCUCUGACCCUCCGGCCAUAUUACUGAUGCCUAUCGAUAAAAAAGCCACGGCGUCAAGCUGUCUCUUCCAGAAGCGGAAGCGACAUUACUCAGCAGAAAGAGCUUCUAAAAUCAAGCUCAGGAGACAUGAUGUGUAUGCAAAUCAGUCAGCAGAUAAAAAAGAAAUGCUUUUAGCACAACGACGAUCAAAAAAUAUUGAGUCGACAAGCCAAGGUCUCUUGGUUGAACAUACUGAAGUAGCAUCAUCUUCUGAAGCCUGCUGAGUUACCUAGACAGAGAAUACUAACAAUAGAGGAAUCAUGUUGCCUUGAUGAAAAAGCCGAUAAAUCUUGCGCGGACGGCACAACAGUUUGUUCUAACAAAGGAAAGAAUAUAAUUAGCUCCCUUUCUAUAUUCGAAUAUGGUUCCACAUCAAAUCCACUCGAUGAACGGCGUGAUCCCGAGGCAUCCGUUGUCAUAAAAAGAGGUUUGUCUUGGUACUCUUUUAACAAUAUUAGCCAUAUAUCUUUUCUCAAUACUUGUAUGAUAUCCAACAACUUAUAUACACAGGUUGUAGAUCAAAAAUAAUAGAUUAUUGGAAUUUCAAACAGUUGCCCAGUAACGCAACCAUUUUGAAAACUGUACCAAACUGUAAAUAUUUUAGAGCUAAAAGGUUUGAAUAUGAAUUAGCAGGAUUCUGUUGUAGCAAUGGUUAUGUCAUAUGAAAUGCCCAAUGAAUUAUUAAAUCUCUACUUAGGCAAUACUGAAGAAUGUGAACAUUUUCGUACCUACAUUAGACUGUAUAAUAAUAUGUUUGCCUUCACUUCACUUGGGGUGAACUAUGACAAAGUACUAGCAAAAAAACCCAUGGAAUUUACAUAUUUAGGGUACAGGGUCAAAUGUAUCACUUCAUAAAUGAUUUGAUUCCAACAAAUUAACAACCUAGAAAUUUACAUAUGUAUUUUUACGAUGAGAACACAGAAAUAUUGAAUCAAAUGACUUCCUCGGGUAUACUUCGAUAGUCGAUCAUUGAGAAGCUCAUGGAUAUACUAAAGAUAAAUCCUUAUUGUAUCUUCUUGAAAUCUUUGAUACAUAUCCCGGAAUUAUCAAACUUUUACAUUGCAUUGAGAUGUGGUUCUGGCUUAGAUCAUAGAGUAUAUAAUCUGCCAACUGUGUCAGAAGUAGCAGCAUUAGGGCUACAACAAGAAACGAACAACAAUAUUUCUUCACCGCAUAUCCGAAUUUACACUCGCAGUAACAAAAGUCAAAUAGUAAAUUACUAUUAUGGUUGAUAUGAUCCUUUUUUUAUAUCCGAUUUUACUUCCUUACGGUCAAAAUGGGUGGCAUUGUGGGAUCCCAAAAAUCUUACAGCCUAGGAAUAAAUUGAAAAAACGAUCUUACUACGAGACUGAGCAGCUUCCAGGCCUUUGUAACAUGUGUUCAAUUGACGGACUACUUGAUAUGGAAGCUGAUGUUUUGCAAAAAGGAAUACGAAAAAGGAAUAAUAUUUCUUGUCGUGAAUACUAUUGUUACAAACUGCAGAUGAGAGACAAUGAGGAAAACAGAGUUUUACAUUCUGGCAGAUUAUUUCAACAAUACUCGGUUGAUGAAUUCAUAAAAGUAGAAACUCAGAGAUUAGAUUUUUCCUCAUUUAACCAAGAUUAUUUCGGGUUGAUGUAUUACAAGGACUUCUAGAUAUCCUGAGACUUGGUGAAAGAGAAGCUUCUAAGAUAGGAAAACAAAAUAUUUUUCCGACAAGUUUUACGGGAGGUCCGAGAGAUAUGCGCUAGCGUUAUAUGGAUGCUAUUGCAUUAGUACAACAUUUUGAAAAGCCUGAUAUAUUUCUGACCAUGACAUGCAAUCCCUCUUGGCAUGAAAUAAGGGAACAUUUGCUCACAAUGGAUGAAACUCAAAAUAUGUCUGAUUUAAUUAGUCGAGUGUUCAGAGCAAAAGUAGAAGAGAUGAAUACAGAUAUAUUAAAAAGAAACAUAUUUCAAAAAGUUGCAGCUUUUAUGUACACUAUAGAAUUCCAAAAAUGUGGUCUUUCACAUGCUCAUUUUCUUGUUAUACUUACUGAUGACUACAAGUUAUUGACGCCCGAGGAUUAUGACAAAUUUGUUAUGCCUGAUCCUGAUAUGAACUCUUACUUGCAUAAGCUUGUUACUAAACACAUGAUGCAUAGGCCUUGUGAUCAUUUGGAUCUUACAAAUUCAUGUAUGAAAAGAAAUGAGUGCAAAUUUAAGUACCCGAAGAUUUUUGCUGAUGAGACAACGAAAGGAAAGAACUCAUACCCAAUUUAUAGAAGACGAAACACUGGUAAAUCUGUGAAAGUUUGAAAACAAUUUCUUGAUAACUCAUGGGUUGUUCCGUACAAUCCUUAUCUGCUCUGUAAAUACAAUUACCAUAUAAAUGUAGAGGUUUGCUCAGAUAUUAAAGUUGUCAAAUAUAUAUACAAGUAUAUCUGUAAAGGACAUGAUAAGAUUUCAUUUGGCUUACAUGAAGAUAACACAAAUUUACAGAUAGAUGAGAUAAAAGAGUAUCGAUAUGCUAGAUGGGCGUCAGCUCCGGAAGCUCUGUGGCGCUUAUUUGCCUUUUCUAUUAGUGAAAUGACUCCAAGUGUUUAUCACCUCCAAUUACAUCUUGACGGAUUACAGUUUGUCUCUUUUAAAAAAACUGACACAAUAGACAGUAUCGUGAAAAAUCCUAUGCUUAAGAAGACGAUGUUGGCAGAAUAUUUUUUGAUGAAUGAAACAAAUAAAGAUGCUAAAUAGCUUAAAUUAUUCUAUAAAGUUUCCACAAUACUUCGUAUGGUCAUCUCCCUAUAAAAUGUGGACUCGACGACAAUGAGGUAAUGUUAUCGGCCGUGUUGUAACGUAUCAUCCAACAGAAGGAGAAAGAUAUUACCUUAGAUUAUUACUAAUGAAUGUGAGAGCACCAAAAUCUUAUAAAGAUCUUCUGACAGUAAAUGGAAUAUGUUGUGACACAUUUAGAGAAUCUGCAGAAAAAAGAGGAUUGCUGCAUUGUGAUAACAGCUUGGUCGAAUGUAUGCGAGAGGCCGCUUGUUAUCAAAUGACAUAUAGUUUAAGACGUAUAUUUGCUACAAUAUUAGUAUACUGCAGUCCUGAUAAUCCAAGAGAACUAUGGGAACAGUUUGAAGACUCAAUGUCCGAAGACUUUAAGAGCCUAGUGAAUAUAAGGCCAACGGAUAUCCACCUUGCUGUCUUGAAUCGCAUCAAUGACAUACUACAUUCUAUGUGACGUGAUAUUAAUGAGUUCAACCUUACUUCAGAAAUGAUCACAUCUUCAAAAAUAGCAAAUGAAGAAAAGGAAGUGUAUUUCAAAAGAAACAUCAUUGUGAGCGAUGAAGAUUUAUUGUUACAUAGAAAAUUAAAUGCUGAACAUAAAAUAGCAUACGACAUAAUUCUCCAGAGAGUAUUUGCCAAUAAAUCUGGAGCAUUUUUCAUUGAUGGUCCUGGAGGAAGUGGUAAGACAUUCUUAUAUUGUGUCUUAUUAGAAACUGUGAGAUCUACAUGAUUUGUAGCGUUAGCAACAGCAAAUUCUGGCGUUGCAGCUUCGAACCUUCCAGGAAGAUGAACAACUCAUUCACGUUUUAAAAUUCCGAUUAAUAUCGAUGAAAACUUUUCUUGCAAUAUCAGCAAGUAGAGCUCACUAGCAUCUUUAAUUCGCGAUGCAAAAUUGAUUGUAUGGGAUGAAGUAUCGAUGGCAAAAAAGAAUAUGAUUGAAGCUUUAGAUUCUCUCCUAAAAAAUAUAAUGGAAACAAAUAUUCUUUUUGGUAGAAAAGCUAUUGUAUUUGGAGGAGAUUUUAGACAAACUCUUCCUAUGGUUCGAAGUGGAAAGAAGGAAGACUUCAUUCGGCAAAGCAUAUUGAACUCCGAAAUAUGGAAUGAGCUUGAAAAACUUCGAUUAUCAUAGAAUAUGCGUGUGAAAACUGAUCCCUCUUUUUGUGAAUAUUUGAUGCAAAUUGGAAAUGGAACAAAAAAGACAAACGCGGAUGACAAAAUCGAAAUUCCGACAUCUUUCAUUGUUCCUUAUAUUACUGAAAAAGAAUCGUUGGACCUCUUAUUCAACAUAAUAUAUCCCGAUUUGCAUGUCUUUUCAUGAUUCUUCCUUUUUAACCUCUCGUGUUAUUUUGACGACAAAAAAUGACUUUGUUGAUGAAUUGAGUGAUAGACUUAUGACUCUAUUUCCUAAAGAUGCUAAGACAUUUGUCACUGAUGAGACUAUUGAACCGAAUGAUCAAAGCCAGUUUGAGGAUUUUCUACAUUUAUUGAACCCUGCUGGUUUGCCUCCUUACAAACUAAUCUUGAAAGAAAAUUGUCCCGUUAUAUUGCUACAAAAUUUAAAUCCUUGUGAAGGUUUGUGCAACGGUACAUGAUUGAUAUGCUGUAAUUUUAAGAGUCGUGUGAUAAACGCUAAAAUUGCGAGUGGUGAUUUUAAGAAUACACAUAUAUUUAUUCCUAGAAUACCGUUAUUAUCUUCAGAUGAUGAGAAAUUACCUAUCCCAUUUAAAAGAACACAAUUCCCACUACGCAUGUGUUUCGCUAUGAUGAUAAAUAAAGUGCAAGGACAAACAUUAGACUAUGUUGGAAUUUAUUUACGCAAACUAGUGUUCUCUCAUGGCCAAUUAUAUAUUGCUUUAUCUAGAGCAAAGAGUUCAAGAUGUAUAAAAAUAUUAAUACGACCACCUACGGCAGAUAACGAUGAUGACCAAUCUAUAUAUAACAUAGUGUAUAAGGAAAUCAUUCAAAAAUCCCUUCUAUAACUUUAUAGCUUCCUUAUUUAUAUUGCUUAUGUGGUGUAUAUUUAUCUUGUUGAUUGUUGCCCCUCAUUCACUUAUUCUUGGAAAAUGAAGCAACAAAUUUCGUUUCUAAUUAUUCUACUUAUUAUUUAUUCUAAUUUUUUCUUUGGGUCUUGAAACAAUUUCCCUGCAAUUUGGUAGGACGUAAGAGUUAGCUUAUUUAAUUUACCUGCAAAUCAUUGUAACACUUUUAUUCUUCUGAUAUAGGUUUUUAUGCGUAAUAUACAGAUAAGGAUGUUUACAUUGUAAAACUCUUCAAGACCCAAUCAGUGAAAGCAUUCAUGUUCGCAAAUUUAAAAAUACAAAGGGUUGUCACAUAUUUCUGUGAUUUUGUAACUCUACAAAGUUGAUGUGCAUGAUCCACACCUCUAGAAAAAAUUAUGUUUUUAACUCCGCCAGUGUUCAAGUUAUACUGUGACGCAGCCUGUCCCAAGCCCGGAUAAAGGAGGAGGGUUUGUUGUUUAUUAGCAAUGACACUUAUAUGUUUUCCUCAGUCUUACUUAUCUUAAAAAUUGUAGUGGAAACAAAGACUACUGCUGUAAAUUAAUGGGAAUGGAGACAAUUGAUCAGGUAAGUUAAAAUUCUUUAUAAGUAACUCAUGUUAGUACUAGCUGUAACUUUGCAAGGAAAGUUUUAAGCGCUAUUGUUCAAAAUUUGAAGAAUUCUUCUAUCAUAUGGUUUUGCUGCAUAUGCCAAACAUUGGAUCCUUUAUAUAGAUUAUUGGGAAAUAUUGCAAUGAGGCAAUAUCAAUAUCAAAGACAAAUUAACUGGAACCAUUGCAAAUUUGAAACAAGAAAUCAUUACCUAUAUUUUCAAGGUUACAUAUUUAAAUUUGUUCAAGUUUUGCAAGCAGACCGAUAAUUUUCUCAUAACAUAUCUGUGUUAAUAAUGAUUUAAACUUCAUAACUCAAGUAUUGACAUGUAGAAUUAUUCAAUCUCAAUCAUUCCAUGAACCGGCAAUUUGCUUUAGCUAAGAGAUGGAUGUUUCUCUAUAACACUACAACUGAUUACCCACUUGAAUAUUUUUGAUCAAUUUAAACUCAAAACGGAUUUGAUAUUCCUUUGUAGAGUGUUCACUUAGAAGAAACUGGAAGACUUGAAAUGGAUGUUCGAUUCACUAGCUGCACAAUCUCAAAGCAGUGGAGAAUACAUUCUUCAUGGUUAUUAGUAUUUAAAUCAGACUAUUCUUUUUUAGAAAUAUGUUGUCCUUUUUCAUUAUUUUGGUGUAUGAUUUUAUUGAGUUUUAAUUGAGAAUUUUUAUGUGAGACUUCCAUUAAGCAUUAGUUGUGAUUGUAAUGUCUAGAGAUAUCUUGAUAUAUCUGAGGAUGAGGGUUGAUUGAGUUGGUGAAAAGAAAAAGUGAACCAUGUGUCAAAUUUUGAUGACUGAAGAAGAACCCAAGUAGUUAAAUAAAUAUAGCUUGUAUCUCUUUCCGAUGCACUUCUCUUUCCCAGAAAGAAGACGUGUGAUUAAAUAUUAUCUAUACUUCUAUUUAAAGUGAAAGAUUUUAAACCUAGCAUGAACAUUAGCUAACUACAUCCUGGCUAAGAAAAAAAAAAGGCAUACCUUGUUAAUUGAAAGUUAUAAAGAAUAUCAUAAUAAAAAAAAAAGUUAUAAAGAAUGUUAUCAAGUUGACAAUAAAUAUUUUAUUACCUUUGCCUAUUAGUUGAGCGUGAGCACAUAUAAUGCAGUUGGAUUUCAGAUAGAAGUAGGGUUAGAUUGAGGUAGAUGGGCAGAAAUAUGAUGAUAACAUCAUGUCGAGACGAUCAUACAUUUUAUUAAAGCUAAUAAUGAAGUCAUCUCGCCUAAUUCGUAGUAUUUUAUUCAACGGUUACAUAUACUUAUCUUUUUGUUCUUUUCGCUAAGUAUGUAUACUUCUCAGAUCUUAUUGCUACUAUGAGCAAAAUAAGUCUGGCAGGCAAAUUAGUUACUUUGGCAGUGGAAAUUAUAUGAUAAUCUGACUUACUGAGUACAAUCCUACUCAGAUUUCUAUACCAUAAAUCAAAUAUGAAUUUUAUAGAUGAUUUGUACGUUUGUUGUUACUCCGCUCAAAAGUGAUGUGUGAUGUCUUACCAUAAAGUCUUUGUCAACUGUGAUGUUUUGUUUCCAUCUGUAUUUUUAUUAGAGUAUUUAUGCUAUUUGUCUAACAUCGAGAGACUAUUGCCGGUAUAGCCAUUGGAUGCCUUCAGUAAUGAAGGACAACAAAGGAGCUUCAGAGUGCUAUCAUCAUGGUGAAUGUAAAAAAUAUUGCUGAACCUAUUAUUACCGAGAAAAUUCUACAAUAUAGAUUGACUCUGCUGAAUUUGAAAAACUAACUUUGGAGUCCUUAGCACCUCCUCUCCAAGUAGAUGGAUGAGCUCUUGAUAAUGAUGCUAUAUUGUGCGAUUACUCCCCUGAAGGAGCAUGUUUUGCUUGUGUUAGGAUAUCAAGGUGACCCAAAUGAAAGAGAGUGUGUGUGUGUGGUGAAUUCUUAGGAAUAAAGGUAAACUUCUCUGUAAGAUCUUGUUACAAAACAAUUCAUGUGGGAGGUGAGAGAAUGUUCCAGAAUGGUCAGAAAGACGAAUCUGGAAACAAAGUGGCCUAUUUCACAUGCUUCGCACCCCUCCAAUCUUGUUUAACACAAGAUAAUAUAUUUAAAAAGACGUUUCAACUUAUGCAAUAGGUGUUACAUAUGCAAAGAGUAUAUCGCAGGAAACAACCAACCUGUUUUUGCACUAUAAGAUGGCUUCACAAGUUUGGGACAUGUUUUAGAACUUAUUUAAUCUAAAGUGGACGACGCCAAACUCAUAGAAGGAGUUAUAUGUUACGCUUCUACAACUUGAGGAGAAGAGAAUAGUAUGACAAAGACUAUGCCUUCUUGCAUUUGGUGUACAAUAUGGAAAUUAAAGAGAGGAAUCUUAAAUGUUUUGAAGACAAAGCGAAACCCGUCAGCAAAAUUUUAUAAGUUUAGUUGUUUUUCUGUUGUCCUUUUGGUGCAAGGCAGAAUGUUUAGAAAGUGGUGUAAAUCUGAUAGAAUUUCAUUAGCUCAUUUCAGAGUAGCGAAUCUGGAAAUGUUUUGCUGUAGUUAUAUAUUAUUAUACACCGGAUGGUUACUGGGCACAACAUUCAGAAAUAUAUUAGCUGAAUAACCCUGGUGUUUACCUUGGUGAUGUUUAUUGAUGAACUUUUUACUUCCACAGAAGUAGAUAUGUAGAAUAUGUACUAAACUUUUCUUUUGCUGCUGACCUGUAUUAUAACAACUUUAC